ACGCCCCGCAGUUACCGCCAGGUGGCGCAUUUAAGCUGUGAAGCGCUGGAACUUUAACUUGAACAAGAUGUAGCUGAACUGAAAGCAGAGAACUGAAUUAAUAAUCCAACUUUUCCAGGAAAGAUCCUCAAAACGUCUGCAAUAGAUUUAGGUGCCCGGAUUAUUAUUGAUUUUGUGGAGUAACUGAUUUUAUUUUGAUUUGACCCUUUUUUACUAAUGUAAAACUUUGCGUUUUAAUUUAAAGUAAUUUCCAGCUGCCGUCAUGUAGAUGAUUGUUUCUCCAUGCAUCAUCUUCAUCCGCUGAACUGCAACUGUUUUUAUCUCAUAAUUUUUAAGUAUAGCUAUAUAUGGUAUGGCUUCAUAAUUUUUGGAUUUUGGUCUUUCUGCAUGAGAAUGGAGGCAUUACAGAUAGUUUUAUCUGCAGUCUUAGAACAGCUGUCUGAGAGAUAUCACCAUGCAACGUGUCUUAGCGACUCCUCUGAGGUUUACAUAAGCUUUGCUCUGUUGCUGGACAGAGAAAAAUAGACACAAUGAAGUUUUCGUGGCACAUGCUUGGCUGUCUCAUGAGGGACCUAACACAUUUAAGACCCCGUGGGAUUCAACAAACAAAGCCUCCUCUCCAACACAGGCACAUCCCUCAGCUGCUCGAUAGGCAGUGUGUUUUGUUUUUAUAUUUUGUGUAUUUUUGUGACGAAUCCCUGUUGGGCCAUUCCUCGGCCCCCCGAGGCUGGCUGUGCACCGCAGAUUGCUUCCGGCUGCCUCUCUGGAUACUGCAACGCUGCAGACUGUGAGGAGUGCCUGUUCCGCUCCUUUCCAUCCUGCCUUCUCCUCUUUCUCUGCACUGAGGCUGCCCUGACCAGCUGGUGGAGCUGGGUAGCUGCAGGCUGCUUGGACCAGGAUCAAGUAGUGCUGUCUGGCUUCCUGUGCUGCCUGUCUUGGUAGAGAAGAGCUUUACAGGGCUCCUGAGAGAAGGGUAUUUUCAAAGGAAGCUUAAAAUUAGAAACUUAAGAAGUAUGUGCAUUGUCUUAAGUUAGCAUGUUACCUGUGCAUUAAAAAAAAACUAAACUUUUGGAC